GACGAACGCUGGCGGCGUGCCUAAUACAUGCAAGUAGAACGCUGAAGGGGGAGCUUGCUUCUCUGGAUGAGUUGCGAACGGGUGAGUAACGCGUAGGUAACCUGCCUGGUAGCGGGGGAUAACUAUUGGAAACGAUAGCUAAUACCGCAUAAUAGUAGAUGUUGCAUGACAUUUGCUUAAAAGGUGCAAUUGCAUCACUACCAGAUGGACCUGCGUUGUAUUAGCUAGUUGGUGAGGUAACGGCUCACCAAGGCAGCGAUACAUAGCCGACCUGAGAGGGUGAUCGGCCACACUGGGACUGAGACACGGCCCAGACUCCUACGGGAGGCAGCAGUAGGGAAUCUUCGGCAAUGGACGGAAGUCUGACCGAGCAACGCCGCGUGAGUGAAGAAGGUUUUCGGAUCGUAAAGCUCUGUUGUAAGAGAAGAACGAGUGUGAGAGUGGAAAGUUCACACUGUGACGGUAUCUUACCAGAAAGGGACGGCUAACUACGUG
rnacentral:rRNA from 1 species